rnacentral:rRNA from 1 species
UACAGGGGGUGCAAACGUUGCUCGGAAUCACUGGGCGUAAAGGGCGUGUAGGCGGGAAGGAAAGUCAGAUGUGAAAUCCCCAGGCUCAACCUGGGAACUGCAUUUGAAACUCCCUUUCUUGAGUACCGGAGAGGAAAGUGGAAUUCCUGGUGUAGAGGUGAAAUUCGUAGAUAUCAGGAGGAACACCAGUGGCGAAGGCGGCUUUCUGGACGGUAACUGACGCUGAGACGCGAAAGCGUGGGGAGCAAACAGG